GACGAACGCUGGCGGCGUGCUUAACACAUGCAAGUCGAACGGAAAGGCCUGCUUUCCCUUGUGGAUUGCGGGUACUCGAGUGGCGAACGGGUGAGUAACACGUGAGUGAUCUGCCCCCAACUUGGGUAUAAGCCUGGGAAACUGGGUCUAAUUCCCGAUAGGACUGCAGGGUGGUGCCUGUGGUGGAAAACGAUUUUCUAGUGGUUGGGGAUGAGCUCGCGGCCUAUCAGCUUGUUGGUGGGGUAAUGGCCUACCAAGGCGGCGACGGGUAGCCGGCCUGAGAGGGUGGACGGCCACAUUGGGACUGAGAUACGGCCCAGACUCCUACGGGAGGCAGCAGUGGGGAAUAUUGCGCAAUGGGCGGGAGCCUGAUGCAGCGACGCCGCGUGGGGGAUGACGGCCUUCGGGUUGUAAACUCCUUUCGACCGCGAGGAAGCCACCUGGUUGGAAGGGUGGUGACGGUAGUGGUAGAAGAAGCACCGGCUAACUACGUG
rnacentral:rRNA from 1 species